GAUGAACGCUGGCGGCGUGCCUAAUACAUGCAAGUCGAGCGAACGGACGAGAAGCUUGCUUCUCUGAUGUUAGCGGCGGACGGGUGAGUAACACGUGGAUAACCUACCUAUAAGACUGGGAUAACUUCGGGAAACCGUAGCUAAUACCGGAUAAUAUUUUGAACCGCAUGGUUCAAAAGUGAAAGACGGUCUUGCUGUCACUUCUAGAUGGAUCCGCGCUGCAUUAGCUAGUUGGUAAGGUAACGGCUUACCAAGGCAACGAUGCAUAGCCGACCUGAGAGGGUGAUCGGCCACACUGGAACUGAGACACGGUCCAGACUCCUACGGGAGGCAGCAGUAGGGAAUCUUCCGCAAUGGGCGAAAGCCUGACGGAGCAACGCCGCGUGAGUGAUGAAGGUCUUCGGAUCGUAAAACUCUGUUAUUAGGGAAGAACAUAUGUGUAAGUAACUGUGCACAUCUUGACGGUACCUAAUCAGAAAGCCACGGCUAACUACGUG
rnacentral:rRNA from 1 species